rnacentral:rRNA from 1 species
GGGACACGUGGUAUCCUGUCUGAAUAUGGGGGGACCAUCCUCCAAGGCUAAAUACUCCUGACUGACCGAUAGUGAACCAGUACCGUGAGGGAAAGGCGAAAAGAACCCCGGCGAGGGGAGUGAAAAAGAACCUGAAACCGUGUACGUACAAGCAGUGGGAGCCUCUUAAUGGGGUGACUGCGUACCUUUUGUAUAAUGGGUCAGCGACUUAUAUUCUGUAGCAAGGUUAACCGAAUAGGGGAGCCGAAGGGAAACCGAGUCUUAACUGGGCGUUAAGUUGCAGGGUAUAGACCCGAAACCCGGUGAUCUAGCCAUGGGCAGGUUGAAGGUUGGGUAACACUAACUGGAGGACCGAACCGACUAAUGUUGAAAAAUUAGCGGAUGACUUGUGGCUGGGGGUGAAAGGCCAAUCAAACCGGGAGAUAGCUGGUUCUCCCCGAAAGCUAUUUAGGUAGCGCCUCGUGAAUUCAUCUCCGGGGGUAGAGCACUGUUUCGGCAAGGGGGUCAUCCCGACUUACCAACCCGAUGCAAACUGCGAAUACCGGAGAAUGUUAUCACGGGAGACACACGGCGGGUGCUAACGUCCGUCGUGAAGAGGGAAACAACCCAGACCGCCAGCUAAGGUCCCAAAGUCAUGGUUAAGUGGGAAACGAUGUGGGAAGGCCCAGACAGCCAGGAUGUUGGCUUAGAAGCAGCCAUCAUUUAAAGAAAGCGUAAUAGCUCACUGGUCGAGUCGGCCUGCGCGGAAGAUGUAACGGGGCUAAACCAUGCACCGAAGCUGCGGCAGCGACACUAUGUGUUGUUGGGUAGGGGAGCGUUCUGUAAGCCUGUGAAGGUGUACUGUGAGGUAUGCUGGAGGUAUCAGAAGUGCGAAUGCUGACAUAAGUAACGAUAAAGCGGGUGAAAAGCCCGCUCGCCGGAAGACCAAGGGUUCCUGUCCAACGUUAAUCGGGGCAGGGUGAGUCGACCCCUAAGGCGAGGCCGAAAGGCGUAGUCGAUGGGAAACAGGUUAAUAUUCCUGUACUUGGUGUUACUGCGAAGGGGGGACGGAGAAGGCUAUGUUGGCCGGGCGACGGUUGUCCCGGUUUAAGCGUGUAGGCUGGUUUUCCAGGCAAAUCCGGAAAAUCAAGGCUGAGGCGUGAUGACGAGGCACUACGGUGCUGAAGCGACAAAUGCCCUGCUUCCAGGAAAAGCCUCUAAGCAUCAGGUAACAUCAAAUCGUACCCCAAACCGACACAGGUGGUCAGGUAGAGAAUACCAAGGCGCUUGAGAGAACUCGGGUGAAGGAACUAGGCAAAAUGGUGCCGUAACUUCGGGAGAAGG